CCUACGGGAGGCAGCAGUGGGGAAUAUUGGACAAUGGGCGAAAGCCUGAUCCAGCCAUGCCGCGUGUGUGAAGAAGGCCUUCGGGUUGUAAAGCACUUUCAGUGGGGAAGAAAGCCUUGGGGCUAAUACCCUCGAGGAAGGACAUCACCCACAGAAGAAGCACCGGCUAACUCCGUGCCAGCAGCCGCGGUAAUACGGAGGGUGCGAGAGUUAAUCGGAAUUACUGGGCGUAAAGCGCGCGUAGGCGGUCUGAUAAGCCGGUUGUGAAAGCCCCGGGCUCAACCUGGGAACGGCAUCCGGAACUGUCAAGCUAGAGUGCAGGAGAGGAAGGUAGAAUUCCCGGUGUAGCGGGGAAAUGCGUAGAGAUCGGGAGGAAUACCAGUGGCGAAGGCGGCCUUCUGGACUGACACUGACGCUGAGGUGCGAAAGCGUGGGUAGCAAACAGGAUUAGAUACCCGAGUAGUC
rnacentral:rRNA from 1 species